AUUUAAUUAAUAAUUUUUUUUUAAAAAAAUAUGGGCUGAAACUAUUGGGAUACCUCACCACGAUCCUGUCCAAAUCUCAGACCACAAUUUCAGACCAAAUCUCAUCUCUCUUGACAACAAUAACCCUAAAUUUCAGACCUCAUCACGAUUCUGCCCGACGAGUCUGUCCGACGAUUCUGACGGCAGCUCCUCACCAUGAUUCUGACGAUUCAGUCUCUCCGCUUCUCCCGCGUCUCUUCCUCCACCAGCGGCCUCCCUUCUCUUUUUCGUUGUCUCGAAUUCAAUGGCACCUCGGAUUCAAGAGGACGCGGUAUACUACAACUUUGAUUUUGAUUGAUCUUUAGUGUUUGAAGAACGCAAAGCAACUUUAUUGGAUUACUUAGAUGAUGGCAGCAGGCAAAUGACUAAUAACAUAGAGUAUGAUGACCAAUGAUCGCUCAUGGACGAUCCACAUGUGAUCCAAGAAGACGAUUGAUAGGUUUGACAUCAAUCGCAGAUACUAUUGUCUUGUUUUUUUUGGUUUUUAGGAAGUGAUCUCCAGCUAUUCCAUUAAAGUCUCAAGUGACUACCUGGAGACUUAUUUUGUUCUUAGUCUACAUAUUUUUAGAUGUUUUGAAGAUAUUCUACAAAAGAUUGCAAAAUGUAAAAACUUAAUUGGAUUUCCUUCUUUUGUAUUGCAUUACUAAACUUUGAUGGCAUCUUAUAGAUUUCAUGAAGCUUUAAUCCUUUUGAAGAGUGUUAAAUGUAUGAAUAUUUUUAUAAAAAUAUUAUUAUUGUUAUUA